GAUCGAUAAGGAGCUAACAGAUUCUGGUCAUGGAGAGGAAACGGAGGAUCUGUUGCUUGCGGCAGUCUCCAAAUCGGUGAUUAUGCUCGAGGAAGACCGUCUUUGACCUGCAAACACUCUUGCAUUUGUGCAAAUGAGGACCAGGAAAAACCUGCAUGGGUUGUUAACAAGUAUCUGCCCGGGUCCUGUUGGCGUCGCCAUCAUCUUCUGAUGUCCGAUUUAAGGGAAUUCUCAAGCCAAAUUAACCUAAACUGACGGCUUCAUGUCUUUAUUUGGUCUUAAUAUGUGUUACAUUUAAAGAGAUUGUAUUUACAUAUAAUUUACAUUUGUUUUGUUUGAAACUUAAUAUGGUGUGUGGCUUCUGAAAGUUGUUCAGUUUUCA